AUACGGAGGGUGCAAGCGUUAUUCGGAAUCACUGGGCGUAAAGGACGCGUAGGCGGGUUGGCAAGUCAGAUGUGAAAUCCUACAGCUUAACUGUAGAACUGCAUUUGAAACUGCUAACCUAGAGUAUGGGAGGGGGAGACGGAAUUAGUGGUGUAGGGGUAAAAUCCGUAGAUAUCACUAGGAAUACCGAAAGCGAAGGCGAUCUCCUGGAACAUAACUGACGCUAAGGCGUGAAAGCGUGGGGAGUAAACAGGAUUAGAUACCCCAGUAGUCC
rnacentral:rRNA from 1 species